AUCACUUCUCGGCCUUUUGGCUAAGCUCAAGUGUAGUAUAUGUUCUAAUCAGACUGAAUCUGCCACGUCCUCUAUCUGAACACAGUAUACUAAACGGUUUUUGGAGCAGGGAGUUGGAAUAGGCGCUUGCUCCGUCCACUCCGUGCACUGGCCUGGUAUUGCAGUACCUCCAGGAGCAAUGCACCAAAA